UAACUUUUUUAGGAAAAAUUUUGGUUAUUCAUUUUGGGGUAGUUUCUAAAUAAUAUUGCCAUAAAUUUUGAGGGGAAGUGCAUAUUCUAUGCAAUUGAUUCCAGUAAUUGAUUGGCAGUUAUUUUAUCGACAUACGUGUGACGAGAAGUAA